rnacentral:lncRNA from 1 species
UUAGGACAGAUGUAUAAGGAGCAUAUACACGCUUUUAUACAAAUCUUCAGUUAACAGUCGUGGAAAGGACUCAAGCUCUACUCCAUCUCCACCUCCUUGGGUUUGGGGAGUCACAUCUGGGAAGAGACAGUAGAUAAUGGAGCCAGAGAGCUGACUCACCACGUGGGAUGGCUGUGGGCAAGUUUCCCAGGUUGCACAAGCCACCGGGUUUUCUGAAACAGAUGGAAAGACCGCCUCUGCAGGCCGCUGGCUGACUUCAAGAUAGUCGUGCUGUAUCAAGUGGUGUGAGAAGGAAAGACCCAUAAGAGACUUUGUCAUCCAAGUUUCAGAUUCCCCUGGAUUCCUUAGCGAUAAGACAUGCAUGGCUCAUUACAUAUUCUAUUUAUGAAAUUUC